UACGAAGGGUGCAAGCGUUAAUCGGAAUUACUGGGCGUAAAGCGUGCGUAGGCGGUUGCUUAAGUCUGUUGUGAAAUCCCCGGGCUCAACCUGGGAAUGGCAAUGGAUACUGGGCAGCUAGAGUGUGUCAGAGGAUGGUGGAAUUCCCGGUGUAGCGGUGAAAUGCGUAGAGAUCGGGAGGAACAUCAGUGGCGAAGGCGGCCAUCUGGGACAACACUGACGCUGAGGCACGAAAGCGUGGGGAGCGAACAGG
rnacentral:rRNA from 1 species